AAUCAACGCUGGCGGCGUGCCUAACACAUGCAAGUCGAACGCUGCUAGCCCCUUCGGGGACUAGCAGAGUGGCGUCCGGGUGAGUAACACGUAGGUAAUCUACCUUUGGGUGGGGAAUAACGUCUCGAAAGAGGCGCUAAUACCGCAUAAUGCAGCGGCAGCUAAUGCUGAAUAGUUGUUAAAGCGGGGGACCACUUGUGGCCUCGUGCCUGAAGAGGAGCCUGCGGCAGAUUAGCUAGUUGGUGAGGUAACGGCUCACCAAGGCAACGAUCUGUAGCUGGUCUGAGAGGACGGCCAGCCACACUGGCACUGACACACGGGCCAGACUCCUACGGGAGGCAGCAGUGGGGAAUUUUGGGCAAUGGGCGAAAGCCUGACCCAGCAACGCCGCGUGAAGGAGGAAAUCCUUCGGGAU
rnacentral:rRNA from 1 species